AUGAGUUGCGCCUCCGCGGGGCCCCGCCCGGCCGCCCCACCCACCAGCCCACAACAUCAGGGAGAGGCGUGUCAGUCCCCCGCCCUUGGCCAAUCCCCGCCGGCCACAGCUGGCUUUCCCGCCCGGCCCCUUCGGCGUCGCCCAGCGAGGCGGCCGCGCGCGGCCGGCCAAUCAGGAGCACGACGCCGUCCCGCCCCGGCCCUCGUUCGCUGGGGCCGGACUCGGUCGGCAUCCGGGAAGCCAGCGGCCCCGCCUCUCCGCAGCUGCAGGCGCUGGUUUAAAGGCGGUGUCGGGAAGCCGGUGCGCGGUUGGUGUCGUCGCCCUCGCGCCCGCUCGGGUAAGGGCCGCGGGGCCGCGGAGCCGCGGAGCCGCGGAGCCGCAUCUCCUUCUCGGGGCAGGGGGGAGGCGACAGAAGCGGCCGCGCGCCGCCUUCCCCGAGCUCCUGGCUGGCCGCGGGGCCGCGGGGCCCGACGGGAGCUGGCGCCGCGCCGGAAGUGGGGGGGGACACAAGGCGAGGCGUGGCUGAGGUGGGGGUCCCGAAGAAGAACCGGGUCGGCGUCGGGUGGGGGAGAUGGCGUACCUGUCCGGGCGGGCAGGCUCUGGAGGGGGGCCCUGAUGGGGAAUCCUAGAUUUUUCAUAGUGAGAAUUAACCAAACAAAAUAAGCCAAGAUGUCUGUGGACCCGAUGACCUACGAGGCCCAGUUCUUCGGCUUCACACCGCAAACCUGCAUGCUGAGAAUCUACAUUGCAUUUCAAGACUACCUGUUUGAAGUGAUGCAGGCCGUCGAACAGGUCAUUCUGAAAAAGCUAGGUGACCUCCCAGGCUGUGAGAUCAGCCCUGUCCAGGUUCGUAAAUGCACAGAGAAGUUCCUCGGCUUCAUGAAGGGACGUUUCGAUAACCUUUUUGGCAAAAUGGAGCAGCUGUUUUUACAGUUGAUUCUGCGCAUUCCGCCAAACAUUUUGCUUCCGGAAGACAAACCCCAGGAGCUGCAUCCUUGUAGUGAGGAAGAGUUCCGGCUCCUCCAGGAGGAAAUUGAACAGUUACAGGAGAAGUAUAAGACUGAAUUAGGCACUAAGCAGGCCCUUCUUGCAGAAUUAGAGGAACAAAAAAUUAUGCAGGCCCAACUUAAGCAGACACUUGUUUUGUUUGAUGAACUCGAAAAUGCUGGCCGAGAUCAUGGGACUAGUGAUUUCAGGGAAAGCCUGGUGUUCCUGGUCCAGAACUCCAGAAAACUACAGACUAUUAGGGACACUGUGGAACGGGAAGGCAAGAGAAUGAAAAUACUGUAAUUUCUAAGUAGUGACAGAAACCCGUCAGAAAGUAGAAUAGGAAGGGAUUGAUGUGAAUGAUAUUCUGGUGAACUGAAUGUCUUAUGGGAUUUCAUUUAUUGGCUCUUGUACUCCGCACUUCCCUCUGUCUGGCCCCACUCUGCUAGGGCAUCUACACUACCCUGAACUAAUCCUUGGAGCCCGUGUUCCCUAGAGACCUCUCACAGGUGGGAAGGGGUUCCUGGUCCAGCAGCAUGUCGCCGGGCACUAAGACUGCAGAGAGAUCUGUAAAAGCAGUUCCUUGAUCAGGGGCUCCUUGUAACCUUGAUCCUUCUGACUUAUUCUUUGGAUGUGAUCAAAUGAGAAAAAGGUUAAGUGGGCGGCUUCGUUAGGAACUAGCCACUGCAUGGCUGGAUGGGUGCCGGCACCCGUGGCCUGCUCUUGUCCACGAAUUGCCUUACACAGCAAGUUAGCCGAUGGGAAGAAGCAAAUAGAGAAACACCACCUGUGUGAUCCUUAGUAAAGAGAGAAGUUGUUUUCGUUCCUAAAAUAAAUGCUUUCUGUGAUCAUGGUGUUGGAGAUGU
ensembl:lncRNA